rnacentral:rRNA from 1 species
AUGGCAUACAUAUAUGGACUUCAGGUAGACGUCAGAGCUCCGACGAAAGCUCCCUCCCUCCCUCCCUCGGAUCAUCUCACCGCUUCAGUUCUCGUCUCUCAAGUGCUCCGCCUUCGCCGUCGCCUUCUUCCACGCCGGCGCGCUCGCCGGCGUCUUCCGUCGUACCAUGCAGAGCUUCUUCGGUCGCGCCAGCAGGAACCAGAGGACAUUCAGGCCCAAGAAGAGUGCUCCGGCAGGGAACAACGUACGGGCAUGAAGCUGAAGAGGCACAUCGACGCCACCCUCGGCAGCGGUAACCUGCGAGAGGUGGUCCGCCUGCCAGUCGGAGAGGACCUCAACGAGUGGCUCGCUGUCAACACUGUCGACUUUUUCAACCAAGUGAACAUCCUGUACGGCACCCUCAUGGAGUUCUGCACGCCAGCUACUUGCCCCACCAUGUCAGCCGGUCCAAAGUAUGAGUACAGGUGGGCCGAUGGAGUCAAGAUCAAGAGGCCCAUUGAAGUGUCCGCACCAAAGUAUGUCGAGUACCUGAUGGAUUGGAUCGAGGCCCAGCUCGAUGAAGAAUCCAUCUUCCCGCAAAAGCUUGGAGCUCCCUUCCCUCCAAACUUCCGGGACGUCAUCAAGACGAUCUUCAAGCGGCUGUUCAGGGUGUAUGCGCACAUAUACCACUCGCAUUUCCAGAUGAUUCUCAAGCUCCAGGAAGAAGCACAUCUCAACACCUGCUUCAAGCACUUCAUGCUCUUCACAUGGGAAUUUCAGUUAAUCGAUAGGGCAGAGCUAGCUCCUCUCAGGGAGCUGAUCGAGCCCAUAUUAGUUGGACACUAG